AGGGCCCGUGACCCACGAGGUCUCACAGAGCACCGACCCCCAGCGUCCACCCCAGGCCAGGGUCCCUCUGGAGCCUCCACCUCCCUGGGCCCCAUCCCCGGCUCCAGGAAAGCCAGCCCCAUCUAUGAGGACUUGCUGCACCUGAGCACAGACGUGUACUGCCGCAUCAGCCCCAGAGCCAACG